CCCAGACUCCUACGGGAGGCAGCAGUGGGGGAUAUUGCACAAUGGGGGGAACCCUGAUGCAGCGACGCCGCGUGGGUGAAGGAGCAUUUCGGCGCGUAAAGCCCUAUCGGCAGGGAAGAAGGAGGACGGUACCUGACUAAGAAGCCCCGGCUAACUAUGUGCCAGCAGCCGCGGUAAUACGUAGGGGGCAAGCGUUAUCCGGGUUUACUGGGUGUAAAGGGGGCGCAGACGGCAAUGCAAGCCAGGAGUGAAAGCCCGGGGCCCAACCCCGGGACUGCUCUUGGAACUGCAUGGCUGGAGUACAGGAGGGGCAGGCGGAAUUCCUAGUGUAGCGGUGAAAUGCGUAGAUAUUAGGAGGAACACCGGUGGCGCAGGCGGCCUGCUGGACGGUGACUGACGUUGAGGCCCGAAGGCGUGGGGAGCAAACAGGAUUAGAUACCCGAGUAUAG
rnacentral:rRNA from 1 species